GACGAACGCUGGCGGCGUGCUUAACACAUGCAAGUCGAACGGAAAGGCCCUGCUUUUGUGGGGUGCUCGAGUGGCGAACGGGUGAGUAACACGUGAGUAACCUGCCCUUGACUUUGGGAUAACUUCAGGAAACUGGGGCUAAUACCGGAUAGGAGCUCCUGCUGCAUGGUGGGGGUUGGAAAGUUUCGGCGGUUGGGGAUGGACUCGCGGCUUAUCAGCUUGUUGGUGGGGUAGUGGCUUACCAAGGCUUUGACGGGUAGCCGGCCUGAGAGGGUGACCGGCCACAUUGGGACUGAGAUACGGCCCAGACUCCUACGGGAGGCAGCAGUGGGGAAUAUUGCACAAUGGGCGGAAGCCUGAUGCAGCAACGCCGCGUGCGGGAUGACGGCCUUCGGGUUGUAAACCGCUUUCGCCUGUGACGAAGCGUGGGUGACGGUAAUGGGCAAAGAAGCACCGGCUAACUACGUG
rnacentral:rRNA from 1 species